rnacentral:rRNA from 1 species
AACGAACGCUGGCGGCAUGCCUCAUACAUGCAAGUCGAACGCGAAAGCACCUUCGGGUGUGAUUAGAGUGGCAAACGGGUGCGUAACACGUGGGAAUCUACCUUUCGGUUCGGAAUAGCCCCGGGAAACUGGGAAUAAUACCGGAUACGGUCUACGGACGAAAGAUUUAUCGCCGAAAGAUGAGCCCGCGUCUGAUUAGCUUGUUGGUAAGGUAAUGGCUUACCAAGGCUACGAUCAGUAGCUGGUCUGAGAGGAUGAUCAGCCACACUGGGACUGAGAUACGGCCCAG